GGCCACGCCCACCCGGCACCUGACAAUACAUAAGUGGGUUUGGGGUUGCAGUUUGGACACUCAAUCUCUAAAAGAUUUGCCAUCACUGACUUAUGACAUUUACAACUGUUGCAACAGCCCUACAGACAUGUGAUCAAUAUCUGGGGCUUGGUAAUCGGCAUGUAUUUGGAAUGGUUGCAGCGUCCCAAAGUCACAUGAUCACCAUUUGCAAUCAUCCAAGGGGAUUUCCAAUAAGUAAAGUCAAUGGGAGAAGCCAGAUUUGCUUAAUGACCACAGCAGAAAAAAAUCAUGAAAUCAGAUGUAACUCAGUGACUGCAUUGCUUAGCAAUGGAAGUUCUCCAGCACAGAAGAUGGAGAAUCCACCAAUGGGUUUGCUGUCUUCCUGCUCAUUAGACCAAGUCAGUCAAACUUGCCACGCCCAUCCUGGGCUAGGACACACCCAGUCUUGACUUGGUGUCCAGCUCAAACAGACGUGGCGAUCUUGGCUCCCAGAAAGCAGGUAAUAUUGAGCUUACUUUGUUGGAUUCUCCCUUGCAUCCAAGGGAUCAGCACUGCUCAAAAGGGUUACUGGAAGAUAGGAUUUCUCCAGGGACCCUAGGAAGAGCGGAGGCUUCCGUUCUUCCAUUUGUUGAGCCCCUCACCUCAUGUGGCGCUGGGAUCAGUGCUACAGCCCGGGCCCUCCCCCAGUCUUUCCACUCUCCUCCGAGGAUACGGGAGGCCUCAUUUGGCCUCACUUUAAAAUCGGAUUCAAGAGUUCCUGCUUUGGGAUCGCUGAGACUCGGACGGCUCCCUUUCCCUCCGGAACCUCACUGCACUGCUGCCCAGGAUUGUGGAGGCCUCAGAAGGCUCCCUUUCCCUCCCGACUCUUAUCGUGCUGUUGCUGGGAUCGCAGAGGCUCCAGAUGGCUCCCUUUCCUCCCAUUUUCACCGCAUUGCUGUUUGGACCCCAGACGGCUCCCUUUCUCUCCGGACUUCUUUUCCUGCCAGAUCGUGCGGCCGCCAGUUUGGCAGCAGCUGGGUGAUCGUGUAGGCCUCAAUUGGCCCCUCCUUGUCACCACAACUGCGCGGUGAGCUGCCGAUCGGCUCCGUUUCAAGGACUAGCCUCUCGCUUCGCUGCAGGCACUGGCCUGCUGACCCCAGCCUCCUCCCUUUCGCAUUCAGGCAUUCAGGCUCCGUGGUCGUCAGACUGGUGCGGCCGCCAUUUUAACUGGCCACUAUUGCCAACGGGCCCAGACAAGGCCCACUCCACUUUUUUGCGAGGGGUGGAGGGGUCACAGGGCCCCUUAGGGGGGUUCAGGGUAAUCACCCCCCCAGAAAAAACAACCUAAUUAAUCUAAAAGCGGUCACAGCAGUCGCUCCAGUGUGGAUAGCAUAGGCCUCAACUGGUGCCUCACUAAACAUACCUGGCACCACCUUGCGGGUUUUGCGUGUGCGGGUUCUCACCAAGGUGGAGUUUCUGAUGCCUAUGUAGACCCACCCGCUGCGCAAAGAUGCUGACACUUCACACCCUUGGCAUCGUCACCACCAGCGCCCUACAAGCAAGCUGGCUGUCAUCACACCGUGAUUUUGCCACGGCCGUAGAUGCGACGGGACCUUUAAUGGGCCCUUCAGGCCAGGGGAGCAGGGUGAACCAAGCCCGUCAUUGUCUUAACAUUUCCCUGCUCCAACUGAAUCUAACCUGCCAAUUGAUCAACUGCCAGAGUUCCCUCAGCACUACCUGAGAUAGCUCACUUCAGGAUGGAGGAUCCCACGGUGCCCCAAGCCAAGGACACCGUCUCCCCAUCCACUAGCCAUAAAAGGUACAAAUCCAGCAAUGGAAGUUCUAGUCACAAUUGUGAUCGUAGGUGAAACACUACCUACGGAAUGAUUUUAUCUUUUGUGUUUGUUUAUUCUGCUACUUAUAUGUUUCUUUGUGACCACUUUGUGACCACUUUUAAUAAGGCAUGUUAAAUAGAAGAGUGGUUUAUCCGUAUUUGAGGUAGACAGUUCAGGAGUGGAAGUGUGGGGAACAAGGAAGUACUUUGAAGGCAUUCCAAUCCUCUUCCACCUCCCCAAGAAUCCUGUUUCUGCUUAAGCUAUGUCUUUUUCAUAAACCUGUUGAGCAGACAGCUGCUUACCUGCUCCAGCAUAAUUCAAGACAUAGAUUUUACAUUCCAUUGCUUUCAAGUCUGAAGCCAGUAGAUAUUUGUACUAAAGUAUUAAUCAUUUGUGUCUUGCUUUAUGAAUUGAAACUAGAAAGAUUGCCCCAAUACUUACGAAAAGUAGAGUUUCAUCUGUUCCUUCCCACUUAAAUAUGUUGUAAGUCCAUGGCUUCCUACAAACUGGAAGUUGCAGGCUGAACAUAUCUUUGUGGCGCCAGGUUGGGGCACAAUGGUGUAAACCCCUUCCUCUAUGCCUUGGGUUAACUGGUCAGGUUACUUAAUACUAAGGAUUCUGUGGAAAUUUCUGGUGUGCUUUCUUGUUUUGCGUUUAAACAACCCAGAACUGGUUGUACUCUACUAUUUAUAGUUGAGACAAUGCCUGCACAAGGCAUAAUGAAAUUGAAUAUCUUUGCUUUCCAAUUGGGUUCCUUGGCAGGAAACAGCUGAGGAACAUGAUGGGACUAGAAUUGGAGGUUAACAUAUCAAUCAUAUCAACAAUUUAGGGUUGCGAGGGUAAUAAACACAAUCAUGCAUUUCUUCUCUGUUAAACUAGCAAGUGCUUGUUGGUUGCCACAGGAAUGAAUUUAGUCUUUCAGAUCGAUUCGUCAGCUUAUUUCCAUAUUAUUCAUUCCAGCUUAAAAGUGCAUCCAGCUUCUUGAUUUAAUUAGAUUGCUCAGAAUAUUUUGUGCAUUUUAGCUGGCACCAAGUAGAUACUUAACCUAUUUCUUUGGUGCUGCACUGUAUUAGUCACACAAACACAGGCAAUAAUAGUCAGAUAGGAUGAAGAUAUUUCCCCAUUCCAUUUGGAAUAUGGCAAGAUCGCCAGUUCUUUGCCAGGUGAAAAAUUUAUGAUUGAGAAAAGUGCUAAUCCUAAAACAUCUUUUUAACUAAUAAAGGAUAAUACUUGUAGCUCAGGGUUGAAGCACAAAGGAUGGAAGCACUAAGGACCCUUCAUUUCAACCAUGACCUUUUUAACUCUUUAUGAUUCCUCUGUGAUUAGUCUGUAAACAUAUUUUCUUCUUGUCUGUUUUUAAAGACUUUUUUUCUGAAAGGCAGAGCAGUGAAUUGGAAUAGACUUGGACAAUGGAAUUGGAGACUGAAUGAUUCAAAAUUUGUAACUGUUGUUUAUUGUUCAAAAUGAUAUUAUGGGUUUGUUUGGAUUUUGGUUGUUGCUUUUUGACUAUUUUUUUGUUUUUUAAAAAUAGGCUAACAAGAAGGCUGAUUGAAUAAAACAAAAUGUCCUCUAAUCUGAUAAAUUUAUUCAAGUGCAGGUCAAUUUGUUUUUGAGUCAUAUGUCCUGGAAGCAUAGAUAUCAGCAAGGUUCCUACAACAAGCUGAUUUCUCCCUCCCAUAUCAGCCAGCCUUUUGAGCAGGAAUUAUCUUGACUUAUCUUAUCCUCUCUAUAUGGUCAAGUUGAUGUUUAAUGUUUUUAUUAUUAUUAUUCUAUCCUCCCUCCUCUUCCUCAAUGUCCUCCCUUUAUCUUGUGAAGACUCUUUAAAAAUAGUGUUAACUAGGUAGUACGGUGAAUUGUAUUUGUCUCUGAGAUGGAAAGAGGCCUAUCAACUUGCAGCUGUUUUGUCUCCUGUCUUCCUCAGUGGGGGUCUUGUGUGGCUUCCAUUCUCACAGUGCUAUUCCUGGAUCAGUUGAGUCAGCUGUUCUUGUCUGGUGUGAGUUGACCCAAAGGGAGAUGCUGGGAUGUUAAGAUGCUUAAACUGAUUCAUGUUAUUUGCAUUGCAAGGUUUUGUUUCAGGCUUGCUGUUGUUUUUGGAAAGGUCAUCUGUGUUGUAAUUUAAAUAGAUGUACAUUCAAAUAAAAGGUAUACAGUUUUGUAGUUAUCAGAGAUUAGAAAUUGGAGAUAAUGUCCAAACAUGAUUUCUUUCAUUCUUUUUUAGACAUUUAGAACAGAAGCAAACCUUUGAACAUAGAGACAUUUCUAAAAUCCAUUUCCACAAAAUGAUGCAAAUCUUAUUGCUUCAGGUUAUGGCUUCAAAAGUAGCAUGACCUUUUAAAGGGAGGAGGUGGAUCUUUGAAGAACACUGAGCUUCCUGUUUCUGAGUAGGAGGAACCAACAGGGCUGUUGAAACCAAUCUUCCAUUCUAUUGCAAGGAAGACUACAAACCUAAAAAUAAGAAUUUAGUAAGAGGAGAAAGAAACAGUCAAGCAGGAGGAGAGAAUCCAUAUAACUUUGUUUUGAGCUCCUGCACAAAAAGAUGGGAUUCAUUUGCUUCGCACUGCUUCCUGAUUGGAUGAUCGUGACCUCUUACGUCCAGGGGGACUGAUUCAGGCAUCCUGUGCUGUUUGAGCAACGUUGGUGUCUGCCGUUGCCACAUGAGAUAUCUCAGCGUUGUGACUGAGAGGAAUCUCUUGGUGAUGGAGCCUGGUAAAAUAGGUCCGCUUUGGCUGCAGAGCAACCUGGUGAAGUUAGCUGUAAGAAAGCUAUAUUAACUGAGACCGGACCAAAAAUGGCAAGCCCAAAUUAAUGGUACAGCCGCACCUCUGUGCUCCACUUAGUGGCCAACAGCGUUGCCUUCUUGUGGCGGCAAGAUCAAUAUAUAUAUAUUUUUCAUUUUUCCAAUUUACAAAACAAUAAACAUUUUUCUUUUUUUAACA